AUUGAACGCUGGCGGCAGGCCUAACACAUGCAAGUCGAACGGUAACAGGGAUCAGCUUGCUGAUUCGCUGACGAGUGGCGGACGGGUGAGUAAUGUCUGGGAAACUGCCUGAUGGAGGGGGAUAACUACUGGAAACGGUAGCUAAUACCGCAUAACGUCGCAAGACCAAAGAGGGGGACCUUCGGGCCUCUUGCCAUCGGAUGUGCCCAGAUGGGAUUAGCUAGUAGGUGGGGUAGCGGCUCACCUAGGCGACGAUCCCUAGCUGGUCUGAGAGGAUGACCAGCCACACUGGAACUGAGACACGGUCCAGACUCCUACGGGAGGCAGCAGUGGGGAAUAUUGCACAAUGGGCGCAAGCCUGAUGCAGCCAUGCCGCGUGUAUGAAGAAGGCCUUCGGGUUGUAAAGUACUUUCAGCGGGGAGGAAGGGAGUAAAGUUAAUACCUUUGCUCAUUGACGUUACCCGCAGAAGAAGCACCGGCUAACUCCGUG
rnacentral:rRNA from 1 species